UUUAUUAAGCAUAUUUUAUGCAUUUAUCAUGUCAGGCACAGUCACCUGAAGGAGCAGAGAAUGAAACCCAGAAGGCAAAGGCCAGAGGGUUUCUCUACAUUAUGAAGAAUGAGGCCAUCAUCAAAAUCCCUGGCUUCCUUCAUGACUUGCUGGCUCAGCUCAGUAGCCUGUCCCUAACCAUGCAGCGAUCCUUAGUGACCCAAGGCCGAAGUUCAUGAGAGCCUGUCCUCCACCCAGGCUUUAAUGUGCAAACACAAAUCCAGGUACAACCACAAAAACAGACUGUAUUUAUCAUUAGUUUUACGUUUAGUGUCUUACAUGAAUAAUAACAUCAUAAGAUUAAGUCUCUUUCUCUCUCUUAUAAAUUAUAGACCUGGGCCCAUGCUGAAGAAAGUGCUGAGAAUGAAUCAGUAGGAGGGUGUCAGCCUAAAGCCAUCUGACGACCAUUACCUGAAUCAGCCCAAGGACCAUCUCAUAAAUCUCCGACAAUGGACAACAGGUUUGGAGAUGUAAGCCAUGGGAUCCUACGUGCCAUGCGGAUUACCCACUUCCGAUACGGUCCAGAGGCAGAUAGAAAUGCGGAUUUUGGAGACUCUGGUGUGCAGGAGCUCAUCGCCCACUUUGAGCCUGUGCUGAUGAUAUCUGGGGUGAAAGUAGGAGAAGUCCUGGACCAGUGGACUGUUCUCAAGUCAAGACUGUACCAUGACCAAUAUUUUUAAAAACAUCUCCUGGUCAGAAGUUAAUUGGCAGCUUGGCCAGGUCUGCCCGUCCUUUGCAUCCCUGCUUUAACAGCUGAUUGUGAGCGGGGAUUUAGUGCCAUGAAGCUGACUUUGAUCCAGCCCCUGCCGUCAAGUUGGAAGCCUGCGGUCUCGAAGGCCAGUUUUCAUGGAGCACAGAGACAAGCAGACA